rnacentral:rRNA from 1 species
ACGUAGGCGGUCCAGCAAGUGGGGAGUGAAAGCCCUCGGCUUAACCGAGGAAGUGCUUUCCAAACUACUGGACUUGAAUACUGGAGAGGGUCGCGGAAUUCCCGGUGUAGAGGUGAAAUUCGUAGAUAUCGGGAGGAACACCAGUGGCGAAGGCGGCGACCUGGACAGAUAUUGACGCUGAGGUGCGAAAGCGUGGGGGGCAAACAGGAUUAGAUACCCUGGUAGUCCACGCCGUAAACGAUGAGUGCUAGAUGUCGCGGGUAUUGACCCCUGCGGCGUCGAAGUUAACGCAUUAAGCACUCCGCCUGGGGAGUACGGCCGCAAGGCUAAAACUCAAAGGAAUCGA